UACGGGGGGGGCAAGCGUUGUUCGGAAUUACUGGGCGUAAAGGGCUCGUAGGCGGCCAACUAAGUCAGACGUGAAAUCCCUCGGCUUAACCGGGGAACUGCAUCUGAUACUGGAUGGCUUGAGUUCGGGAGAGGGAUGCGGAAUUCCAGGUGUAGCGGUGAAAUGCGUAGAUAUUAGGAGGAACACCCAUUGCGAAGGCAGCUCGCUGGGACGUUACUGACGCUGAGACGCGAAAGCGUGGGGAGCAAACAGG
rnacentral:rRNA from 1 species